UACGUAGGGUGCGAGCGUUGUCCGGAAUUAUUGGGCGUAAAGAGCUCGUAGGCGGCUUGUCGCGUCGGAUGUGAAAGCCCGGGGCUUAACUCUGGGUCUGCAUUCGAUACGGGCAGACUAGAGUUCGGUAGGGGAGUGGGGAAUUCCUAGUGUAGCGGUGAAAUGCGCAGAUAUUAGGAGGAACACCGGUGGCGAAGGCGGCUCUCUGGACCGAUACUGACGCUGAGGCGCGAAAGCGUGGGGAGCAAACAGG
rnacentral:rRNA from 1 species